rnacentral:lncRNA from 1 species
GUUGUUCCUCUAUUCUUGUUCUCAAAACUGAAGCUGUUGAAGACUAUGCCAGGAAAUUUCAAGUUGUAUGGUAGUGUGUGUAUUAUAUCAUAUUAUACUGGCUCUAUUGUUUUAUGUAGGACAACCAGUCAGUAUUUCAAUGAUCCAUUCAUUCAUUAUUGGUAAUAAAGUCCUGCCCUAAUCUUUAUACAUGAUAUUACUCAGGAUACUAUUUCAAGUGUCGAUAUUACUCAGUAUAUUGUUUCAAGUCUCAUCUAUUGUACAGUAAAUAUGUGUUGUUCUUGUAUUAUUAUCUAUUUUACAGGUUAUAUUCAUGUACCUGAUCCAUUCAGGAUAUUUUAAGUAUUGUCCAGUAUAUGAUUAUAUUAUUAUUUAUUUUACAGGUUCAUAAAUACACUGAAUUAAGUCUUUAUUUCAUGGUUAUGUUUGGGUAACAAAUGGAAAAAUUUAAAAUGUAUUCUUGUUUAUUUUUAGUAUUCUAAAGGUGGAACUGAACUACCCAAGUGUCUGGGUUUUGGUAAUAUUCUCACUAUUCUUUCACACAUUUUCAUGUUUUGGUGUUACUCUUUUACUGUCAGUAUCUUAUUGUUAAUACGUGAUGAUUAAAUUUAUAUAUUUUGUAUAUUUCAGGUUGAUGUUCAUUACUUGUGUCAAUGGAUCAGAGACAGUUCUCUAUUGGUUAAUGAUAUCCACACACUAUCAUGUACAUGUACAUCCUUAUCUGUAACAUGUAUUCUAUUUCCCUUUCCUUAAGAUUGCUACACAGACUCAAGCCAGCAUGCAGUCUUCUUCAGCAUCAAUUCAGUCCCAGUCUUCAGUGUAUGGUAACAAUGUAUCUAUUGCAUGUUAUUAAUAACCUUGAUUACAGUGCUAAUAAUAAACGGCUCAUUUUAUCACUAUUCAUCCCAUUACAUGUAAUAAAGCACUGUCCCAUUGAUCUUUACUUAUUCUAUUGUUUAAAUAUUUUUGUCUUUUUUAUUUCUACAGGGAUCAAGUUUAAAGUUGGUUGAGUGUGAGGUAGAGUGAGAGUUAAUAAUGUAUAAUUACGCAUGCUUAUAAUGUAUUUUAUGCAUGUACAAUAUAAUCCACACAUGUCCUUCCACCCCCCACCACCUCUAGUAGGUCUGACUGUUCUGGACUGGACUCGGGAUCAAGUUUAAAGUUGGUUGAGUGUGAGGUAGAGUGAGAGUUAAUAAUGUAUAAUUACGCAUGCUUAUAAUGUAUUUUAUGCAUGUACAAUAUAAUCCACACAUGUCCUUCCACCCC